AGAGAGCUUGCUCUCUGGAUCAGUGGCGAACGGGUGAGUAACACGUGAGCAAUCUGCCCCUGACUCUGGGAUAACAGCUGGAAACAGCUGCUAAUACCGGAUACGAGCUGCGAAGGCAUCUUCAGCAGCUGGAAAGAAUUUCGGUCAGGGAUGAGCUCGCGGCCUAUCAGCUUGUUGGUGAGGUAAUGGCUCACCAAGGCGUCGACGGGUAGCCGGCCUGAGAGGGUGACCGGCCACACUGGGACUGAGACACGGCCCAGACUCCUACAGGAGGCAGCAGUGGGGAAUAUUGCACAAUGGGCGAAAGCCUGAUGCAGCAACGCCGCGUGAGGGACGACGGCCUUCGGGUUGUAAACCUCUUUUAGCAAGGAAGAAGCGAAAGUGACGGUACUUGCAGAAAAAGCGCCGGCUAACUACGUGCCAGCAGCCGCGGUAAUACGUAGGGCGCAAGCGUUAUCCGGAAUUAUUGGGCGUAAAGAGCUCGUAGGCGGUUUGUCGCGUCUGCUGUGAAAACCCGAGGCUCAACCUCGGGCCUGCAGUGGGUACGGGCAGACUAGAGUGCGGUAGGGGAGAUUGGAACUCCUGGUGUAGCGGUGGAAUGCGCAGAUAUCAGGAAGAACACCGAUGGCGAAGGCAGAUCUCUGGGCCGUAACUGACGCUGAGGAGCGAAAGGGUGGGGAGCAAACAGGCUUAGAUACCCUGGUAGUCCACCCCGUAAACGUUGGGAACUAGUUGUGGGGUCCAUUCCACGGAUUCCGUGACGCAGCU
rnacentral:rRNA from 1 species